rnacentral:rRNA from 1 species
GCAUAUCAAUAAGCGGAGGAAAAGAAACCAACAGGGAUUGCCCCAGUAACGGCGAGUGAAGCGGCAACAGCUCAAAUUUGAAAUCUGGCCCCUAGGGUCCGAGUUGUAAUUUGCAGAGGAUGCUUUUGGCGAGGUGCCUUCCGAGUUCCCUGGAACGGGACGCCAUAGAGGGUGAGAGCCCCGUCUGGUCGGACACCGAGCCUCUGUAAAGCUCCUUCGACGAGUCGAGUAGUUUGGGAAUGCUGCUCUAAAUGGGAGGUAUAUGUCUUCUAAAGCUAAAUAUUGGCCAGAGACCGAUAGCGCACAAGUAGAGUGAUCGAAAGAUGAAAAGCACUUUGAAAAGAGGGUUAAAAAGUACGUGAAAUUGUUGAAAGGGAAGCGCCUAUGACCAGACUUGGGCCCGGUGAAUCAUCCAGCGUUCUCGCUGGUGCACUUUGCCGGGCACAGGCCAGCAUCAGUUUGGCUUGGGGGAAAAAGGCUUUGGGAAUGUAGCUCCUCGGAGUGUUAUAGACCUUUGCAUAAUACCCUGGGCCGGACUGAGGACCGCGCAUCUGCAAGGAUGCUGGCGUAAUGGUCAUCAGCGACCCGUCUUGAAACACGGACCAAGGAGUCGUCUUCGUAUGCGAGUGUUCGGGUGUAAAACCCCUACGCGUAAUGAAAGUGAACGCAGGUGAGAGCUUCGGCGCAUCAUCGACCGAUCCUGAUGUUCUCGGAUGGAUUUGAGUAAGAGCAUACGGGGCCGGACCCGAAAGAAGGUGAACUAUGCCUGUAUAGGGUGAAGCCAGAGGAAACUCUGGUGGAGGCUCGCAGCGGUUCUGACGUGCGAAUCGAUCGUCAAAUAUGGGCAUGGGGGCGAAAGACUAAUCGAACCUUCUAGUAGCUGGUUUCCGCCGAAG